AAAAAAAAACACGUGAGUAACCUGCCCUUGACUUUGGUAUAACUUCAGUAAACUGGGGCUACUACCGCAUAGCAGCUACUGCUGCAUGGUGGGGGUUGGAAAGUUUCGGCGGUUGGGGAUGGACUCGCGGCUUAUCAGCUUGUUGGUGGAGUAGUGGCGUACCAAGGCUGUGACGGGUAGCCGGCCUGAGAGGGUGACCGGCCACAUUGGGACUGAGAUACGGCCCAGACUGCUACGGGAGGAAGCGGUGGGGAAUAUUGCACAAUGGGCGGAAGCCUGAUGAAGCAACGCCGGUUGUGUUAAGUGGUCCGGCGGCCACCAAGAUCUACACGUAAGG
rnacentral:rRNA from 1 species